CCCUCCUAAUGGUGCCUGGCACAGCGUCAGGAAAAUACCUCAUCUGAAUUUUUAUUCGGCUGACAAAUGAUGUGCGUCUCUGCCUUUAUCAGGCUGCUUCUAUUAAAUAUCUGAGUGCAGAGAAGAUUUCUUAAUUUGCUCGUUUCUCAUGGUACCCUGCAGAAGGGGAGCCCAGAAUGGAAACGCAUCAAGAGGUAAGAGAGACAUCUACCUGCUCGCAGCCCAGAGCCCUGGCAACGGCGGGGGCCCCGUUGGAUCAGAUCACAUUAGCAUCUCAGCUCUACUUUGAUUUGUCUCUCAAUAUACUGUUUAAAAAUGUAACCCAAUCACCAAACCCUACAAGCAGUCUGUUUAUUAUUACUUUUGAUAGAAAGGUUCAUAACAUCCUGUAAUGUGUGUGCAUUUUUUAUUCCGUUUGGCUACGAGACACUGAAACCAUCGGGGACAUUUAUUAAAACGCAUUCAGCCGUUCUUUAGGAUGAGGUUAAUGUGGGAUUUAUGCCUCUGUGGUGCUCCGUGCGCAGAGCGGUAAUAAUGCUUGUUUAGUACUUAGUUCACGUACAAAAUGGUCGGCUAUAAAAAUCGAAGGAAUAGAAAGAUCGGCUAGAAGCGCACAGAAUGGAGGGCGAUUCCCUCAAGUUGGGGGCCGAGAGAGAAGACCAGCUUGGAGAGGAGAAAUUCAUUCUCCUGCAAGAUCUGAUUCCCUGGUGCAAUCAGAGUGUGGGCUCCCAGAAGCCGGGCUUGAUCAGCUCAGGCCUGACAACCUGCCCAGGCCAUUCUCUGCCAGGCAGCCCCGUGAGAGAUGCUCCCUGCGUGGCCACACUUGUGCGCCCGAUGCCUCCCUGGUUCCUUUCUACCGCACAAGCCCAUGGCCUUCAAAUCGACAGGAGCCUUCAAGAGGGCCAGAGGGCUGGGGGCAGAGCCAGCCAGACAUCCGGGCUUGGGCUCCUCCGGUAUCCAAAGCAGAUGGGCUCGGCGAGAUGGGGAUCAAAAUUCCAAGCAGCUUCCUAACGAUUGGCCACACGUCUGGGCAUCAGGCGGGACGCGCAUGUUUCCUACACAUGUUGGUGAUGUGUUUGCUUCCAAGAGCAGAAGGGAUCCAGAAAAGCCCCCUGGAAACUGCCCAGCUCCAUCCCCAGGAAAACCUGUCCAUUCGGGGAGCUGCUUCCUUGUGUGAGCAGCUGGAGGCCAGCGUCCUGCUUCCCCGUGGGAAAGCGGGGGUUUUGGGGACCUGUGAAUGCACCGUCUUCCCUCCGGCUGCAUCCCAGCUCAAUGCAUGGGCAGAAGCACGCACGGCCAGGAGGAUCCAGCCACUCUCCAGCUGCUGCGGAGGGGCUGUGGGGGCCAGGCUGGAUGGAGGGCUGCCUGGUUUCCACCCCAGUGAGAGGCUGGAAGGGGAGUCAACACUACUGACCUGAGCUGCAAGCGUGUCCCCCUCUAAAGUCGGCAGGAGGCUUGUGACUAGGCACCCUGCUUCCCACCUUACCCCUCCAAUCCCUUCACCCAGUGCAGCCCCAGGGACCAUCUUAAGAGAGAAAUCAAACCCAGUCUCCCUGUCACCCUUUCAAGCCUUCCUGUGGCUUCCCACCACACGGGGGACAUCCAGUCUCUUCCCAGAGCCCGCCGGCCCCCCAUGCCAUCUGGUUCUCGCCUCUUCCCACUGUUUCCUGUCUCCCCAUGGGUCCUUCUGCAGCAGCAGCCACCCUGGCCUGCCUUCUGUGGAACAGAGUGCCAAAUGACACCCUCCACGCUCCAGCUCAGGGCCUGGUCCCCCUGUCUGGGACGCUGCACUCCAGACAUUUGCAUAGCUGGGUCCUCAUUACACAGAGCUCAGCUUCCACGUCCCCACCUGGUAGUGACCGAUGGAACAUGCGCCACAUCACUCUCUUCAACAGCCCUCUAUUUUGAUCCGUGUAGCACUGAGAGCAAUUUUCCCCCUUGUCUAUUUGCGUCUACUCAGCCCCUGUGCUAGGAAAUGAGCUUUCUGAGAGCAGAGUUCUUGCCUGUCUGUCCAUCUCUGUGCACUGAUUCCUCCAGCGGGGCCAGGGCUCCACAGAUGAGGAGUCACUGCAGGGACGAAGCUCAGCAGUUGCCAGGUGAAGUGCCUACCCAAAGGACACAACCCAGCAAGAGGAUACAGGGAGGCUGCAGCCAAGACCUGGCAUCUCUGCUACAAAGCCCAUGGACCGCAGCUGAUGGGCAACUCACCAGGAGGGUGCCCCAUUUCCCAGAUGACCCCCGUAAGAGUGUGCACAGUAGGAACCACAGCGGGUCGUGGAAAACCAUGGAAAGAAGAGUCGACUCGACUGCCAAUCACAUUUUUUUAAAUGGGUCCUCUGGCUUCCGCCAGCUUUUCCUACGUGCCUGCGGCUGAGCUGGGGAAUUAUCCUCGGGUACCAUUUGCACUCCUGGCACUGCCCCACCACCAUGUGUGUGAGACGCGUCCCCCGUCCCAGGGCGGGGUGUCUUGCUUACUUACACUGAAUGACGAAUGUUUCCACAGCUGCAAACAAGGCAUUUUCGCUAAGAAGUUGGGCCUGAUGGAGAAGCAAGCUGCCGACAUUGUUACUGGUGUUUGAAUGAAGAAAGAAAGGGAGGGAGGCACCCUGCUUCCUACCUGACCCCUCCAAUCCCUUCACCCAGUGCAGCCCCAGGGACCACCUUCUGGGGGCACUGGGGCAAAUGGCAGGUCCCAGGAGGUUAAAUAGAGUGGACUUCUGCUGGUGUCUUCACAGGCGAGGAGGAGUUGAGCUGGAAAUAAACCAAACAAACCGAAAUGGGCAAAGUCCUGCUACAUACACCACGCCAAGAGCAUCCCUGAAAAUAAGCAUGAAUCCAGGGCUUGCUCUCUGCCACGCACGUGUAUCACCCCGCCCGAUCCUCACUACAGCGGCAGGAGUAGAUGGUCCUGUUGUUACCGACGAGCACAGGAAGAUGAGCGGAAUUUCCAGGGCUAGGAGUGGAACAGAGUGCCAAAUGACAGCUGUCAGACUCUUUGCUUCUAUGCUAAAUCCUUCCAUCGUCUAUGUUUCAUGGGCAGACUUUAAAAAGGAUCUUAAAUUCAGCUGCCAAGGGAAGCACCUGAGGUGCUCUUCAGAAAAAAAUACCAUAUUAGCUUUUUGUGGCUGUGACCAAAAUACUUGAUGAGCAGAGACAAACUUUAUUUUGGCUCAGGGUUUCAGAGGUUCCGUCCAUGGUCAUUCAAAUCCAUUGCUCUGGACCCAAGAUGAAGCAAAAUCAUGGCAGAAGGGCUUGGUAAGACAGCUGCUCACUUCCUGGCAACCAGGAUAUGGAGAGAGAGAAGGAGGAGCCAGGGGACAAGACACACCCCCAAGGGCAUGCCCCCAGGGACCCUCUGCUCCAGCCAUGCCCCACCUGCCUAUGGUUACCUUCCACAUUAGUGAUCCAGCCAAUGAAUAGGUCAUAUAUAUAUAUAAUAUAUAAUAUACUUAUUUAUAUAUAUAUAUAAUAUAACUUAAUCCACUGAUUAGGUUAUGUCUCUCACAAUCUAAUCAUUUCACCUCCAACAUCAACACAGGAACUUGGGGGGACCCUCAUAUCCAAACCAUAACUAACAUCAAUGCUCAGACCCUAGCUCAGACCUAUGAAGUGCCCCCAGACGUCGAUAUUUUUCAAAAAGUGAUUCUAACGGGCAACUAGGCUUGAGAUCCCCCACUUGGUUCUCAAAGUGGGGUUCCCUGGGCCAGCCGCACCGGCAACAUCUGGGGACUUGUUAGAAACGCAAAGUCCUGUCGUCCUAUCGAAUCAGAAACUUGGAGGCUUGAGCCCAGACUCUGAUGGUUUAACAAGCCCUUUAGUGAAUUCUAAAACAAUUCAGAUAACCAUUGCUCUUUCCAGAAUAUAAACUCCAUAAAGGAAAGAGAACGUGUACCUCUUGUUCUCACCUUGAAUUCUCAGUACCUAAAGACCAAAAUGAAACAAAGGGCUCUGCUUACAACAGGAUGUGGAUACUGUUUCCAUUAUAGUCAGAGACCCAGAAUGGGCAUUUAGAUCCAACUUUGCAGAGUUAGUUAAGAAUUCCAUUAGCUACCUGUACUAAAAUCUUUGCAGUCCAAAACUGUUUAGAUAUUUUGUUCAUUUUUUUCCCCAAAAAAAUAGGCUACAGAGACCAUGAAAUUAGCACCAAACAUAGUGGCCACGUGGGCCUGCACCUGCUGUGAUUAGUGCUGGCUACGGAGGCUGGUAGCUUAUCAGCAAGUCUGUUGUGUCUUCUGCCCUUGCAGCCCCAGAAGGCUGAGGACAGCGCAUUUUGACAAAGACAAGAGAAUUUCCCUAGCAGUUGAAUUCAUCCUGCAUUCUUCUGCUCAGCCCAACACCCAGACAGGGCCGUAGAUAGCUUCAUCAGAGAAUUAACUCUCCUUACAGCUCCACUCAUUAAAGAAGGGAGAUGGGUUGUACCUUUCGAUGGCGGCUGUCUUCCCUUUCUACCUCCUGACCACACAUGCUCAGAAAAUGGCUCGGAAUCACGACAGUGCUGCAAGUGAGCAGUGAUUAAAUUUGUCCCCACAA